GUAAACGUCACGUCGUCUAAAAAUCUAAACCACAGAAACGCGUUUUUAAAUUCUUAUAAGUUCAUUUUAUUACAGUAUAUUUUUCAAAUCAGCUGUUUUGAAUUUUUUUUUUUAAAUAUAUAUAUAUAUAUAUAAGGAACCGCACUCAUACAGAGAAGAAAACCCGAGAGGCCUGUGAUCCGGUCUCCUCCCCAAGCCAGCCAGCCAGCAAGGAAGCAAGCGACAGCUGCAGGUGAGCCACAGCAUGCGGAAGUGCAGCCCUGCAGCGUUGCAGCCCUGCAGCAAUGCAGUGUGUGUGUGUGUGAGAGAGGGAGAGACUUGGUUGAGAUGUUGAUACAGGAGCAGAAGUUUUCUGAGUUUGUAAUGUGUGUGUGUGUGUGUGUGUGUGUGUGUGUGUGUGUGUGUUUUUUAAGCCUUGUUUUGUGCUAUACUGACUAGCGCUUUGGUCUUUGGUUUUGUGAUGCAGGAGAAUUUCUCAGUUUUGUUAGGCUGUUUUCUCUUCAGCGUCUUUGAGGGCGUUUUGAGAAUCGGUUAAGCUUGAUACAUAAUAUUAUUAUUAUUAUUAUUAUUAUUAUUAUUAUUAUUAUUAUUAUUAUUAUUUAUAUCUUAUCUAGUACUAAGGACUAAAGCAGAGCGUUUUGGGGGUCUUUUUUUAAGGAGAAUUUCUCAGUUUGUUAGACUGGUUUUUCUUGAGCGUCUGCGUUUUGAGGGUGAUUUAGAGAAUCAGUUAAGCUUGAUACAAUAAUUAUUAUAAUUAUUAUUAUUAUUAUUAUUAUUAUUAUUAUUAUUAUUAUUAUUAUUAUUAUUAUUAUUUAUAUCUUAUCUAGUACUAAGGACUAAAGCAGAGUUUUUGGGGGGUCCUUUUUUAAGGAGAAUUUCUCAGUUUGCAGUUUUGAAGCCUUUUUUUCUCUUUAUAUAAAAAUACAUAUUUUUUUUUAUAGAUUUAUUUUCAAAUGAUUUCCUAACUACUGUGUGUUUUUUUUUCGUUGUUUUCUCUGUGUGUUUCGAAAAACUGUGCAGGGUCAUUUUUUAAAAAUACAUGCAAUACAUUUAGAGAGAGAGAGAGAGAGAGAGGAGAGAGAGGCUGAUCACACUGUCCUCAGAAACUCCUUCUUAAACAGAACUCUGUAGAUUUCCGAUUCGGAUCGAUCGGAUUGCUGUGGCAGCAGAUUCAGCAAAGACAACUGGUGUUCAAAAACAGGAAGUGGAGUCGACAAACAGGAAGUGAUCUCAGACGCUGGAUCUAAGUAACUACCUCUGAGGCUGGAAAGUGCUUUUAUUUUAAUUGGUCUGAUUUGAAUCGAUUUGGAACAG